CACUUAUUUGAAAGGAUUUGAAAACCCAUGAUGGAUUAUUUGUUGAGCCCAUAGACAUAAAGAACCUAUAGACGGACAACAGGGGGCGCAAGACCGUAAUUUCAGUGAAGCCGCCAUUUUUAAAAACCAUGGGCAAACUUGUUCGGCACGUCACACAUAAAGCGCACACAAUACGCGGCUGUCUGGUGAGGUCCUCCAAGCAGAACGUCACAGUGAAGGAAUCUAAAGUGAUGCACAAACAAUGCCUCGAACCUGUGUAGCAUGGGGGUGUAAACAGCAAUAUUCACAAGAAUCAAAAGCGAAUGGAAUUACAUUCCACUAUAUUCCGAAGGACCUCACCAGACGACGCCAGUGGCUUCAUAACAUGCGUUGGGAUGGCUACGAUCCAGCAAGGCAAGAUGGAGAGAUAAGUGAACAACUGGAGAGAUAAGUGCGAAUCUCUGCAAGCCAAGAUCAAUGCACUCCGAGUCAAAAACUGUCGAAAAUCCCUCGCAAACUCAGCACUCCGAGGGCUUCUGACAGACAUAAAGCGCAAGGAGCUGCUAAGCGAAGAAGAUGCCUUGGCAUUGGAAGAGCACUUUGAAGGUUCAAAGCUGACUCUGGUGAAAUCUCUGAUGAGCAAAGGCAAGCAUGUGACAGAAUACGAGAAGGAGGUACGUCAGUUUGCAACAACACUGUACUUCUACUCUCCAAGAGCCUACACAUAUGUACGGAGGCUCUUCCAGCUGCCAUCUGUGAGUACACUGCGAUCUUGGGUCACAAACAUCCAUGCUCUCCCAGGCUUUUCACAACAUGCUCUCAAC